AACGAACGCUGGCGGCAGGCCUAACACAUGCAAGUCGAGCGCCCCGCAAGGGGAGCGGCGGAAGGGUGAGUAACGCGUGGGAAUAUGCCCUUUGCUACGGAAUAGUCUCGGGAAACUGGGGGUAAUACCGUAUACGCCCUUUGGGGGAAAGAUUUAUCGGCGAAGGAUUAGCCCGCGUUGGAUUAGGUAGUUGGUGGGGUAAUGGCCUACCAAGCCGACGAUCCAUAGCUGGUUUGAGAGGAUGAUCAGCCACACUGGGACUGAGACACGGCCCAGACUCCUACGGGAGGCAGCAGUGGGGAAUCUUAGACAAUGGGGGCAACCCUGAUCUAGCCAUGCCGCGUGAGUGAUGAAGGCCUUAGGGUUGUAAAGCUCUUUCAGCUGGGAAGAUAAUGACGGUACCAGCAGAAGAAGCCCCGGCUAACUCCGCG
rnacentral:rRNA from 1 species